rnacentral:rRNA from 1 species
UGUGUAGGCGGUUAUUUAAGUUUGGUGCGAAAUCUCCCGGCUCAACCGGGAGGGUGCGCCGAAUACUGAAUGACUUGGAGUGCGGGAGAGGUGAGUGGAAUUCCUGGUGUAGCGGUGAAAUGCGUAGAUAUCAGGAGGAACACCGGUGGUGUAGACGGCUCACUGGACCGUAACUGACGCUGAGACACGAAAGCGUGGGUAAGCAAACA